rnacentral:rRNA from 1 species
AGUGAACGCUGGCGGUAGGCCUAACACAUGCAAGUCGAACGGCAGCACAGUAAGAGCUUGCUCUUACGGGUGGCGAGUGGCGGACGGGUGAGGAAUACAUCGGAAUCUACUUUUUCGUGGGGGAUAACGUAGGGAAACUUACGCUAAUACCGCAUACGACCUACGGGUGAAAGCAGGGGAUCUUCCGACCUUGCGCGAUUGAAUGAGCCGAUGUCGGAUUAGCUAGUUGGCGGGGUAAAGGCCCACCAAGGGGACGAUCCGUAGCUGGUCUGAGAGGAUGAUCAGCCACACUGGAACUGAGACACGGUCCAGACUCCUACGGGAGGCAGCAGUGGGGAAUAUUGGACAAUGGGCGCAAGCCUGAUCCAGCCAUACCGCGUGGGUGAAGAAGGCCUUCGGGUUGUAAAGCCCUUUUGUUGGGAAAGAAAAGCAGCAGGUUAAUACCCCGCUGUUCUGACGGUACCCAAAGAAUAAGCACCGGCUAACUUCGUG